rnacentral:sRNA from 1 species
AAUCAGCUCCGAGUUCAACGCUGCCAACAAUGCUUCCUGGCUGACGACCUCCUAUUUGAUCACAAGCACUGUUUUCCAGCCCCUGUACGGCCGAUUCUCCGAUAUUUUCGGUCGGAGAGCUUGUUUUUUUACCUCGACCAUUACUUUUAUGCUCGGUUGUCUGGGCUGUGCUCUGGCCCCAAACAUCGUGGUUUUAAAUUUGAUGCGCGCAGUAACUGGUCUGGGAGGGGGUGGGUUGAUGACGAUGGCGACAAUAAUAAAUUCAGACAUGAUUCCUUUCAAAGAGCGAGGGAUGUAUCAAGCGGUCCAAAACGUCUUGCACGGAUUCGGGUCGAUUUGCGGUGCGUCGAUAGGCGGAUCGAUUGCAGACACGAUCGGAUGGCGAUGGUGUUUCAUAUUGCAAGUGCCAGUGUCAAUUCUUGCACUAAU